CCUACGGGAGGCUGCAGUGGGGAAUAUUGGACAAUGGGCGAAAGCCUGAUCCAGCCAUGCCGCGUGUGUGAAGAAGGCCUUCGGGUUGUAAAGCACUUUCAGUGGGGAAGAAAGCCUUGUGGCUAAUACCCUCGAGGAAGGACAUCACCCACAGAAGAAGCACCGGCUAACUCCGUGCCAGCAGCCGCGGUAAUACGGAGGGUGCGAGCGUUAAUCGGAAUUACUGGGCGUAAAGCGCGCGUAGGCGGUCUGAUAAGCCGGUUGUGAAAGCCCCGGGCUCAACCUGGGAACGGCAUCCGGAACUGUCAGGCUAGAGUGCAGGAGAGGAAGGUAGAAUUCCCGGUGUAGCGGUGAAAUGCGUAGAGCUCGGGAGGAAUACCAGUGGCGAAGGCGGCCUUCUGGACUGACACUGACGCUGAGGUGCGAAAGCGUGGGUAGCAGACAGGAUUAGAUACCCCUGUAGUC
rnacentral:rRNA from 1 species